rnacentral:rRNA from 1 species
CGCUGAAUUUAAGCAUAUCAAUAAGCGGAGGAA